GAUGAACGCUGGCGGCGUGCCUAAUACAUGCAAGUCGAGCGAACAGACGAGAGUGCUUGCACUCUCUGACGUUAGCGGCGGACGGGUGAGUAACACGUGGGUAACCUACCUAUAAGACUGGGAUAACUUCGGGAAACCGGAGCUAAUACCGGAUAAUAUUUAGCUUCGCAUGAAGCAAUAGUGAAAGACGGUUCUGCUGUCACUUAUAGAUGGACCCGCGGUGUAUUAGCUAGUUGGUGAGGUAACGGCUCACCAAGGCAACGAUACAUAGCCGACCUGAGAGGGUGAUCGGCCACACUGGGACUGAGACACAGACCAGACUCCUACGGGAGGCAGCAGUAGGGAAUCUUCCGCAAUGGACGAAAGUCUGACGGAGCAAUGCCGCGUGAGUGAAGAAGGUUUUCGGAUCGUAAAACUCUGUUGUAAGGGAAGAACAAGUACGUUAGUAACUGAACGUACCUUGACGGUACCUGACCAGAAAGCCACGGCUAACUACGUG
rnacentral:rRNA from 1 species